rnacentral:lncRNA from 10 species
UAGAAGUAACUAUGUUUCUUCCUAGAUACCUCAGUCUUCCCGAUGCAAUGGGCACAAUCAUUGCCUGGCAAUUUCAGUGUUAUGUUGUAGUGUAAUUUUAUAGUAGGUUUUUAUUCGAGUAGAGCUAAAUUUUAUUAUAAUAUAACUGAAUUGUCUGCUUUCUGGAAUUCAUUAUGUGUGGUUCUAAAUAUAAACAGAAAUAGCUAGAGCUAUAGAAAUAGCUGAAAGCUUUACUUCAAAGAGGGAACUAUGAGAGACCUUGGAGACACAGACUGAACACCCUCUGUAGUCAGUCUGCCAGCUUUGACACAAGGAACUGAGCAGAUUGGCAUGGAACCAAGUGUUUUAGAAUGGGAUAUAGACCAGAAUGGGACAACAAAAUGGAUGAGAAAUAACCCAGAUGUCAGAAGAGGACUCAGAACAGAACCUGGAAAUGGCACAUUGUUCACUCUGAUGGAAGUUUCUUUUGCUGUGCAGAAGCUCUUUAGUUUAAUUAGACAGGCAACCUACAAAACGGGAGAAAAUUUUCGCAACCUACUCAUCUGACAAAGGGCUAAUAUCCAGAAUCUACAAUGAACUCAAA